GGGGGCGACCUGGCUUCGACGCGGGUCGUGAAACAGUGCGGUGCGUGCCGAGGCCCAGUCACCUCGUAAAUCCGCUGGAACACUACAAACGCCAACGACGAGCGUUUCGCUCUCGCCGCCUAACCCCGGUGAGACGCUGCACUAGCCUGCCAUUGGGCUAGGCCGGGCAACUGGCAGCAGCGCCAGAUUCAAUGGCUGGAUGCGCGUGAAGUCACGGCGCACGCAUCGAGAACCCAGUGGCUGGUCGCGCGUCGGCCCGUCGGACGGCUAAGCGCGCGAUGAGACAAAAAUAGUCCGGCUACGCACGUAGAACCGUCUGCGGAUCAUUCGCGGACGCGGGUUCGAUUCCCGCCGCCUCCACCA
rnacentral:tmRNA from 1 species